rnacentral:rRNA from 1 species
GAUGAACGCUGGCGGCGUGCCUAAUACAUGCAAGUCGAGCGAACGGACGAGAAGCUUGCUUCUCUGAUGUUAGCGGCGGACGGGUGAGUAACACGUGGAUAACCUACCUAUAAGACUGGGAUAACUUCGGGAAACCGGAGCUAAUACCGGAUAAUAUUUUGAACCGCAUGGUUCAAAAGUGAAAGACGGUCUUGCUGUCACUUAUAGAUGGAUCCGCGCUGCAUUAGCUAGUUGGUAAGGUAACGGCUUACCAAGGCAACGAUGCAUAGCCGACCUGAGAGGGUGAUCGGCCACACUGGAACGGGGACACGGUCCAGACUCCUACGGGAGGCAGCAGUAGGGAAUCUUCCGCAAUGGGCGAAAGCAUGACGGAGCAACGCCGCGUGAGUGAUGAAGGUCUUCGGAUCGUAAAACUCUGUUAUUAGGGAAGAACAUAUGUGUAAGUAACUGUGCACAUCUUGACGGUACCUAAUCAGAAAGCCACGGCUAACUACGUG